AUCACUGGCCAAAACAUCCUCUAAGGUGGGAAACAUUUCCACUGAUCCCGCUCCACGCGCACCCCACAGUACCAACUUUUUCCUAAAUCCACAGAGUUGAUCGUGUGCGUAAAAGACGUUUCUCUCACAUCAGUAGACAGCAAGCAGAUAGCUUUUCCGGUUUACUUUUUCCCUCGCACCGCGCCUCCCCUAAAGUGCUCUGGCGCCCCCCAGGGGAGGCGCGCCUCACACUUUGAAAACCGCCGCACUAGAGUCUUUAGGAGACGUUGUAUGAGGGAAGACGGAGCCGUUAACAGUCAGUUUAUGGCACAGCGCUGAAGCAACCAAGUUAUUAACUACCAAAACUCUUCCCCUGUCAGAUCGCUGAGGCAGCAACCGUUUCCAGUUAGAUAAUCUGGCACACACUCUCUCCAUCACACCCUCCCAGUUUCUGUCCAGAACAGCAUCUGUUCCUAAAAAACACCCAAGAAUGUUGAACCCCGACCAACCCAACGAGUUUUACCUGGUAAAACAGGAGAUCGUCAUCUUUUAAACUGGCACAACUUUCCCCCAGUUUACUUUAGCUGAAGAAGCUUUUUCAUAAAGCUCCAAACAAUGUUGAAGACCCAUAACUGGUUUUUAAUAAAGAUAUUUAUAUCAUCAGCUUGAACAGGGACUGGAAGAACCCGGCCAGUAAGCGUGGAGCGUACUGUGUGCAAAAGGUUGAACUACAAUAGAGAACCAGUGUCCAGAUGUGGGACAGUUUGUCCAAUGUGUCUGUGAACCUUGACAGGACAAGUUCAUCCUCCCCCAACUUUAACAACACAAAACACUUCAGCAUAUAAUAAACCCAGUAAAGAAAUAAACCUUCACCAAGUCCAAACUCUCCUAAUGUAGAGAAGAGAAAACAAUGAUCAACACUGUCAAAGGCUUUUUCUGUUGGGUUCUGGGGUUUUGUUUUUCUUUGUGUGCUUCUUUGCCCACCAGAUGGCACCAGAGGGCUUCUUACCUGGAGAGGCGCAUCCAAGGUUCACGCAGCAGGUUCCAAUCAUCUCAUUAACUCCUGGAGCUUAAAGAAACGGACUGCCAGCACUUCGGCGCCCGAGUGUUAUCCUCUUCAGGAGAUUCCCUCGUGACGCCGUGGGUCUUACCCACUGGAUGCCCGAGCUCCACCUCUUCCGUUUAUUCUCUCAGUCACUCCGCUCAUCAGGCUCCCUUCAGAUCCAAACUUACCUGUCCGCCCUCCACCGCAGUCCACCCCUCCCUGACCGAGGCCGCCGCUUCACUAAAAGCCGAUAACCCCGUGAUUCAUCCCCUGGACAUCAAACCUGUGUAUUUCAAUAAACCUCCUGUUACUGGUCAUCUGUCCUCCUGUUCUGUUCGGCAUGUGGGCCAGGAAAAUAGAAGCCACCAUGACAUUUUCCUGAUCAAGUCUCUUAAAAGAAAAAGAUGAUCUUUGACAUAUUUCUCAGUUCUUCCACAGAGUCGAGUCUCCUGUUACAGGGACAGAACAGCUUAUCGACAGGAUGAUGGUGCGAUCCCUGUUGAUGUCCUGAAGCCCCUCCCACCAGUCCUCAAAAUGUUGGUGAAGAUCUGCAGGUAAACCAUCUGAACCUGGACUCUGGCCAGAAACCAUCUGUCCAGCCGCAGCAGUCGGUCGGUUCUUCCACUGAAACUCCAGCAUCCAGAAUUUGCCGAUCUGCAGCGGUUAGCUGAGGAAGACCAAAGAGGUCCCAGGACACGGCCAUGCUCCUUCAUGAUGCCGGGAUCAGCAGUCAGCGCUCCGUCUGCACGGCGGAGGCGAAUCAGCUGCUUUGCCCGGCUGACGCUCUCCAAAUGAAAAAGAAAAAGAUGUUGGGGCGUCCAGAUCCUUAACUGUGGCAAACCGUGACCCACUAAAGCCCCUGUAGCCCUUUCAUGUAAAAAACCACUUACCUGAUCUUCCUUUAGUGUAAGCUGAUCAUUAUUAACAUCUGUUAAUAAAUUAUUUUCUAACUCUUUAA